rnacentral:rRNA from 1 species
UACGAAGGGGGCUAGCGUUGCUCGGAAUUACUGGGCGUAAAGGGCGCGUAGGCGGAUGUUUAAGUCGGGGGUGAAAGCCCGGGGCUCAACCUCGGAAUUGCCUUCGAUACUGGACAUCUUGAGUACGGGAGAGGUGAGUGGAACUCCGAGUGUAGAGGUGAAAUUCGUAGAUAUUCGGAAGAACACCAGUGGCGAGGGCGACUCACUGGCCCGUUACUGACGCUGAGGCGCGAAAGCGUGGGGAGCAAACAGG